UAGCUAAGUUGGUAAAGAAUCUGUCUGCAAUGCAGGAGACCCAGGUUCAAUCCCUGG
rnacentral:tRNA from 1 species